CUUUUGUCUUUUUAGGGCCACACACGUGGCACAUGUAAGUUUCCAGGCUAGGGGUUGAAUCGGAGCUACACCUGCCAGCCUCCACCACAGCCGCAGCCACAGCAACUUGGGAUCUGAGCCACAUCUGUGACCUACACCACAGCUCUCGGCAACACUGGAUCUUUAACCUACUGAGCGAGGCCAGGGAUCGGACCCACGUCCUCAUGGAUACUAGUUGGUUUUGUUAACCGCUGAGCCAUGACGGGAACUCCUCCCUCACCGUUCUAAGGCUGAAAUUCCCUGAUGUGUCUUGAGAGAUGGACACAAGGUUCAAAUAGGGCUGGAUGGAGACCGAGACCUCUGAUAACGGCGCUUCCCUGUAGAUAUGGGGUUAGAGUGUUCAUGGGAUGAAAGAGAGGCAGGGCCAAGUUCACAGCCAAAGGCAAUGCCACCCAGAAGUGUCCCCAAGGAGCCUCCACGUCCAGUUCAAGAUGACCACCUUCAUAGAGGGCUACUGAUGUCCUCAUUUCAACAGCUCUUUCUGCAUCCACCCCAAGAAGAGCUCGCUACUUGGUGAAGGUCCCGUGGAUAACCUUACAAGGUCACUCCAGCUGUCGUUUUUUGUGUAUGUUUGUUUGCUUGUUGUUUUUGUUUUCUUUUUAUGGCUAUACCUGUAGCAUAUGGAAGUUCCCAGGCUAGGGGUCACUCGGAGCUGCAGCUGCAGGCCUAUGACACAGCCACGUGGGAUCUGAGGCGCAUCUGUGACCUAUGCUGCAGCUUGUGGCAAGGCUGGAUCCUUAACCUACUGAGCAAGGCCAGGGAUCAAACCUGAAUCCUCAGGGAGACGACAUCAGAUUCUUAACCUGCUGAGCCACAACAGGAAUGCCUCACUCCAGCCAUCUUAAUGGGGUAGCUGGCCUUCUCAUGUAAUAACCUUGCCUGCACAAAGCUUUGCAUCUUGAAACAAAAAGCACAGACUCCAGCCAAUGAAAUGGGCCUUAGCUGGGGUCCAAGGGCAGGAAGUGGCAGCCAGGAAGGGAGAGUUUCCAGGGCUCGAUUAUAAAAAGUCAGUGGGUUAAGAACCCAACCAGUAUCCAUGAGGAUGCGGGUUUGAUCCCUGGCCUCGCUCAGUGAGUUAAGGAUCCCAUGUUGCUAUGGCUGUGGCUUAGGCUGGCAGCUGCAGAUCUGAUUGGACCCCUAGCCUGGGAACUUCCAUAUGCCACAGGUGCAGCCAUAAAAAUAAAAAAAAUGUGGUGCAGGCUAAGAUGUGUCACUUAGCCAGGAGACAUUCUGUCCAUAUUACAGGUGAUACAAUUGAGGCUGGCUUGUGUCAGUUCCCUGUGUUACCGUAUCCGAUCUUAGCACCUUGAAACUCUUCCAUCACUAAUGAGGAGACACAGAAAGCUUUGAGCAACCUCAGAUUUCCACUGAGCUGCUGAGCCCAUACCGAGGUCGAAGCCUGGAAGUCCACCCACAUCUGCCACUCAUAGGCACAGAUGUUGGAACAGAGUUCAGUCCUGCUCUUUCCCGACCUUAAGAGGCUUAGCGCAUCUCUGAAGCUGGAACAGGAGCUGGGAGGCACAGCUGAUUGGAAACGAGCUCCUCAGAACCACAGCACCCACAGCCGCACUUUGAGUUCUGUACUUCAAAGGGUCGACUGGGGAGUUCCUGUUGUGGCUCAGUGAUUCAAAUCCAAUUAGUAUCCAUGAGGAUGUGGGUUCGAUCCCUAGCCUCGCUCAGUGGGUUAAGGAUCUGGCGUUGCUGGGGCUGUGGUAUAGGCCAGCAGCUAUAAGCUCCGAUUUGACCCCUAGCCUGGGAACUUCCAUCUGCUGCAGGUGUGGCCCCAGAAAGCAAAAAGAAAAUGGGUAGUUUGGGAGCAGGGCCAUAAGUGGAGCUGGGCGGACUGGCCAGCACAAAGGCCUUUGGGAACACCAGGCUUCUGGGUGACACUGUCACAGACAGAGCAAAGCUGGCUGACGAAUUAGCUCCCACCAGCUAUAAGGCUGGCCCCAGAAAGUCCCUGGUCAAUUUCCUCAGGUUGGUAAAAAGAAUCACAGUUAGGCCUCAAGAGACCUCUUGGCUCUCAAGAUGCUGAGUUUGUUCCGCUCCUUCAGGCCAAGUUCACAUGGGCAAUCAAGUCAUGCAGAUCCUUAAAGGGGAAAAGGCACCUGGUUUGGCGUGCAUCUGGUUCCCCUUGCCUCCGAGUUCUGGCCUUCACAGGAAGGUCUGCCCUCAGGAAUCCCGUCAUUCAAUAAACCAGCAUCGACUGAACAACUACUGUAGCCAUCAACGCAGUUAUGGUCACAGAUGAACGCAAGUAGCAGUUAGUGAACAGGAGGAAGGUCUCUUUCUUGUCAGGAAGGGUCUGUGAGGGUCCCAUCCUCUCUGGGCCCCAAACCUCCCAGGGUGGCUCAGGGACCUAGGCUCCCUUUAACGUGUGGGACCACACGUCAACAUGUGGCUUC
rnacentral:lncRNA from 1 species